rnacentral:rRNA from 1 species
UACGAAGGGGGCUAGCGUUGCUCGGAAUCACUGGGCGUAAAGGGCGCGUAGGCGGCUUGCAUAGUCGGUGGUGAAAUCCUGCAGCUUAACUGUAGAAGUGCCUCCGAUACUAGCAAGCUCGAGGGAGGUAGGGGUCUGCGGAACUUCUGGUGGAGCGGUGAAAUGCGUUGAUAUCAGAAGGAACGCCGGUGGCGAAAGCGGCGGACUGGACCUCUUCUGACGCUGAGGCGCGAAAGCUAGGGGAGCAAACGGG